UGGGGAAUAUUGCACAAUGGGCGCAAGCCUGAUGCAGCGACGCCGCGUGGGGGAUGACGGCCUUCGGGUUGUAAACCUCUUUCAGCAUCGACGAAGCGCAAGUGACGGUAGAUGCAGAAGAAGCACCGGCCAACUACGUGCCAGCAGCCGCGGUAAUACGUAGGGUGCGAGCGUUGUCCGGAAUUACUGGGCGUAAAGAGCUCGUAGGUGGUUUGUCGCGUUGUUCGUGAAAACUCACAGCUUAACUGUGGGCGUGCGGGCGAUACGGGCAGACUGGAGUACUGCAGGGGAGACUGGAAUUCCUGGUGUAGCGGUGGAAUGCGCAGAUAUCAGGAGGAACACCGGUGGCGAAGGCGGGUCUCUGGGCAGUAACUGACGCUGAGGAGCGAAAGCGUGGGGAGCGAACA
rnacentral:rRNA from 1 species